GACGAACGCUGGCGGCGUGCUUAACACAUGCAAGUCGAACGGAAAGGCCCUGCUUUUGUGGGGUGCUCGAGUGGCGAACGGGGGGGUAACACGUGAGUAACCUGCCCUUGACUUUGGGAUAACUUCAGUUAACUGGGGCUAAUACCGGAGAGGAGCUCCUGCUGCAUGGUGGGGGUUGGAAAGAUUCGGCGGUUGUGGAUGGAUUCGCGGCUUAUCAGCUUGUUGGUGGGGUAGUGGGUGACCAAGGCUUUGACGGGUAGCCGGCCUGGGAGGGUGACCGGCCCCAAUGGGCCUGCGAUACGGCCCAGUCUCCUACGGGAGACAGCAGUGGGGAAUCUUGCACAAUGGGCGGAAGCGUGAUGCAGAAACGCCGCGUGCGUGAUGAAGGCCUUCGGGUUGUAAACCGCUUUAGCAUGUAACGAAGCGUGAGUGACGGUACUGGGUAAAGAAGCACCGGCUAACUACGUG
rnacentral:rRNA from 1 species